UUUGCCUUAAUUUCAUCAGUCUGUAAUCUGGUUUGGUGGAGUGGUUGUGAUCAAAGCAGCUCCGAUCAAUUCAUAACAAAGGGGACGGAGCAGGAUCCUCUGAUGAAAGGCUAUGACAUCCACAGCUCUUUAAUUAAGAAUAAAAGUUUGAUGGGGAAGCACUGAGAGCUAUGUGCAGUUCUACAUGCAGUAGGCUGAGGCUUAAUUCAGACAAGAUGGGAAAAAACAGCCUAUGAAAUAAUUCACCAUGAUUUACAGGAGUUGUAGGGACUGGGAUGUAUAGUUCAUCUGCAAUCAAUGAGCACUCUAAACUCUGCCAAUGAUGGAACUGGAACUAACUUGUCACAUAGAAGCUCCCAUGACCAAGAAAAAAUACUGGAGGUCUUUGGGGAAAAUUCACCUUGAUUUGGGGGAGUUGUAGUUCACCUCCAUCCAGAGAGCACUGUGAACCCCAACACCGAUGGAUCUGGACCAAAUUUGGCACACAGACCUAUAUCCCAAAAUUGGAUUACUGGAGUGUUUGGGUUAGGGUUAGGAAACUGACCUUCCUUUCUGGGAGUUGUAGUUCACCCACAACCAGAGAAACUGUGACCUCCACCGAUGAUGGACCUGAACCAAACUUGGCACGCAGAAUCAUAAUAACUAACUUGACCUACUGGAGGGGUUUGAGGGGUCCGAAAACAUAGUGGGAGUUGUAGUUUACCCUACAGCAAGAGAGCACUUAACCUUACCAAUGAUGCAUACAAAGCAAAUUUGCCCAACAUAACAAGCUUUAAGUACUGAUGAAGUUUUUUGGGAUUAACCUGGCAUUAUGUGAGUUGUAGUUCAUCCACAACCUGAUGGAGUUUUUCGGGUUAUGCCGUUAGGACUGGCACCACAUGUAUCUGCACAUGAAAGCAAUCCCAUCCACAGUAUCUGGGCUUCAUUUAUUUAUUUACUACAUUUAUAUCCCGCCCUUCUCGCCCCAAAGGGGACUCAGAGUGGCUUACAAAUAAUAUUUAUCUACAGUGUAUUAUAUUAUAUUAGCACAGCACUACACUAGCACAAUAUACCAGCAUAUUGCAGCACACCACUAUACUGUACUAUUACCGGUAAUAUUACGUGAAAUAAAUAAUAUAUAAUUAAUAUUAUUAUAUUGUAUUAUUAUUAGUAUUAAAUUGCAUUGCAUUAUAAUAUUAUCAUCAUGUAAUAUUAAUAAUAAUAUUAUGAUGUGAUACAAUGUAAUAAUGCAGUAGAGUCUCACUAAUGUAAUAUUAAUAAUAAUAUUAUGAUGUGAUACAAUGUAAUAAUACAGUAGAGUCUCACUAAUCCAAGCCUCACUUAUCCAAGCCUCUGGAUAAUCCAAGCCAUUUUAGUAGUCAAUGUUUUCAAUAUAUCGUGAUAUUUUGGUGCUAAAUUCGUAAAUACAGUAAUUACAACAGAACAUUACUGCGUAUUGAACUACAUUUUGUCAAAUUUGUUGUAUAACAUGAAGUUUUGGUGCUUAAUUUGUAAAAUCAUAACCUAAUUUGAUGUUUAAUAGGCUUUUCCUUAAUCCCUCCUUAUUAUCCAAGAUAUUCGCUUAUCCAAGCUUCUGCCGGCCCAUUUAGCUUGGAUAAGUGAGACUCUACUGUAUUCAAAAAAUUUUAAUCUACUGAUUAAUUUAAUUUUAUUGGUAUCGAUUUUUAUUUCUGAAAUUUACCACUCUCGGCUUAUACUUGAGUCAAUGUUUUCCCAGUUGUUUGUGGUAAAAUUAGGUGCCUCGGCUUACAUUUGGGUUGGCUUAUAUUCGAGUAUCUACUGUAUAUAUUAUCGUAACACAACCACACAAUACAGAGCAGGGAGCUUAUAUAAACAUAUAUCUCAAAUUGAAGGAAAUCUAAAUCCUUGCUUAAACUACAAAAGGCUGGUCUAAAUGAGUCCCUCAAUGUAUAUUUGGUAUAAAAAAACUCCACUGUGGCAAAAUGAGGCACAUUAUGAUAAAACACAUAUUGUGCAAUUUAAAAUCGUUUUCUUUUCUUUCUUCCUCUCUAAUAAGAGUUGGGGGACCGAUCCAUCUCUGGGCGGGGGAGGCUUAACCUUCCAUUGCACCCCUGACUGGUUUUUGUUUCAAAAUUCCCUCUCUGCGUAGGAGCUCCAAAGGCAGAAACGGGGUUUUCUUUGCCUUAACCGGCACAGGGGGGCCAAUUUUGCAACAAAAAACCAGCUGCAGAGGAACAAGGUUUAAGCCUCUUUCGCCCAUGCCAGUCUUGACACAAGCUUACUUGAAGCUUUUUAAAAAGGAUUUUAAACCACACAGGACUGCACGGAGCUUAGAUCUUACUCUGGGAGUGACUUUCGUGGCUUCUGAAUGUUUUCUUUGAAACACAGGAGCCCCAUGGACCCUCCUUUGACCCCAAAGAGUCCACCCCAGGAAUCCACAUAUUGCAUUGCCAAUGCUUUCAAGCUCUCCUUCUUCAUUUGGAGUGAAGAACCCUUAUAAUAAACCCAGAUUAAAAGUCCUUUUGUAGACAAUUAUCACUCAGAACAGAAAGGUCACACUUUGAUGUCAUGGCUGGGAUAUUUGGCUAGGGUCACAAAAAAUGGGGUUUAGUUCUGAAACUCAAUGGAUGAUAUGAUAAUAUAAUAAUACCAUAUAUUCUCGAGUAUAAGCCAACCCAAAUAUAAGCCGAGGCACCUAAUUUUAUCACAAAAAAACUGGGAAAACAUUGACUCCAGUAUAAGCCGAGGGUGGUAAAUUUCAGAAAUAAAAAUACAUUCCAAUUACCAUAUAUACUCGAGUAUAAGCCGACCGGAAUAUAAGCCAAGGCACCUAAUUUUAUCACAAAAAAACAGGGAAAACAUUGACUCCAGUAUAAGCCGAGGGUGGUAAAUUUCAAAAAUAAAAAUAGAUACCAAUAAAAUUACAUUAAUUGAGGCAUCAGUAGGUUAAAUGUUUUUGUAAUUGGGAUACAUUUGCAAAUUCCAGUCAAUUACCAGUGGUUUGAACAGAGAAAAUGGCUUUUCAGCCCAUUAUAUAUAUUAAUAGGCUGGCUUUCAUGAUAGUUGUGCGUAUGACAAACAAACAAACAAAAGCCUUCAAGAAAAGGCUCUGCUUCCAACAGCACCAAACUUUCCUGAAAGCAGAACGUAUUAGUUUCACACUUCAGAGCCAAUUAACAGCCAAGCAGACCCGUGUUUUCGCUUAACGGUGCCAGCAUGUUUAUGCUAAGUGCCUAAUGUUACAAUCCCGUUUUUUCCGUAUCCCAUUUCGCCCCCUCCCCAGCUCCUCAAAUCAAUGAAUACGGUACUCCAUCAUUUCAUCUGAAGAAGUGGAUUGCAAGCCACAAAAGUUGAUACUAAAACAGGAGGGUUGAAUGAAAAGUAAUGCCUCCACCUUUGUAACUCCUCAACAGAUGGCAGUCCUGGUCUGUGGCAGGUAAUGGCUUGUUCAGGAGACUCUCAUCUACAGUUAGCUCCAUUUGGCGGGAAGCCUUAGCAUUGAACGGUUGUGUUGUUAAAGUGUGAAGUAUGGAACCCUGUGCAGACGGAGAAGCCUUAGCAUUGAAAGGUUGUGUUGUUAAAGUGUGAAGUAUGCUUGGCUAUCGGAAGAUCUGUGCACAGUUGGUCCUGUGAGACGCUGGUUGUGGAAACCGAGUGUCGACUUCUUCCCGUGACGGCUUCAGAAAACUUGUUCAUCGUUGGCAGAAAUGUAUCCAAUUAUCUGGUCAUUAUGUGGAAAAGUGAAUAGUGGUAAAGAGCACAUUCUUAGGAUUAUUUCUGCAUUUGAUUUAUUAAAAUAUUCCCAUCCAAACAGAAGUAACGAAGGUGGAGGCAUUGCUUUUAAUUCAACCCUCGUAGAUUUGGUCUUAAAGGUUCUACAGAACGGCUUUUUUUCCUUUACUUCCCAUACUGAAACAAACCAGCAUGGCUAACCCUUAACAGAUUGCUUGUGUGUAUAUUGUGUGGGUAUACCUUUCCUCCUCUGCAAUGCAUCCAUUCCUGGAGCCAGAAUUGACAUCUGGACGCGCACGGCUUUGUUUGGCAUGCACACAUCACACCCUCGCCCACAAUUACUUCCCACGCUGUCUUUGUUUUCCGACCGGGGUCUGCAGCCCCCUUUCAUUCAGAGGGGAGCAAAGAAAUUGGGCAACUGGUUUUCCUCGCACACCUCAUUCUCUCUCCCCCUCUCCUGCCACCCCUUCCAGCUUCACUUUCCCCUUUGUUUUUGUUCCAGGAAGUCACGACAUCAAGAGCAAGUCAAAGUCAAAGCCACAGCGCAAGGCACAGAAUCUUAUCUCGCCGGCACAGAUACUGCCUGUUGUGUUCCCCUACCAAUACCACUUGCUACGCAGGAGAGCUGGAAGGCACAGGACCAGUGAGCAAAGUGUUGGCAGAAGCUGGGGCUAACAGCAGGUGCUCAUUCCUCUCCCUGGAUUUGAACCUGCGACCUUUUGGUCCACAAGUUCAGCCGCUCAGCGCUUUAACACGCUGUGCCACCGCCCGCCACUCUGAAAAUCCCUAGAGGAGACAUAUUUUGUCAGAUGCAGCAGUUUGCUGCCAGGAAAAGAGGUGGGCAGCAGCAGAGAUGGAAGAGAGAAGUGUCUGCUUUGGUUCAUAGUGGAUUCCUCUUCUCUGAAAGCCCGAAUGCUGCUUUGGAAAUCUUCAAACAUGUGUGCAUACUGUUAAUGUGGGAUUUGUGUUUAUAGUGUUUAAAUGCAAUUUGUGCCAUGCUUGUAUUGCAACUGAUUGCAUCAUCCAGAAUGUACCAUAGUGUGGAAAGAGUUAAUUGCCAAGAAGCUAUGAUGAACUUGAUGUGUGGCUGGAACUAGGGAGUAUCCAGACACAAGUGUUUGUGCAUAACGAUUGCAUCAGUUCAGUUCAAUUCAGUUGAGUUCUGUCUGCCUAGAGUUCGAGUCAAGUUCUGUUGGAGAACAGAACAGUCCUGUGUUCAUCUGUCGUCUGCAAGUCUGUUUGUGUUGAAUACUGCUGCAUACAGUAAAACUUUGUAAAUAGUUUUA